rnacentral:siRNA from 1 species
AGAUUCGUCCUACAAGUGUACAAG